rnacentral:rRNA from 1 species
GACGAACGCUGGCGGCGUGCCUAAUACAUGCAAGUAGAACGCACAGUUUAUACCGUAGCUUGCUACACCAUAGACUGUGAGUUGCGAACGGGUGAGUAACGCGUAGGUAACCUGCCUGGUAGCGGGGGAUAACUAUUGGAAACGAUAGCUAAUACCGCAUAAUAUUAAUUAUUGCAUGAUAAUUAAUUGAAAGGUGCAAUUGCACCACUACCAGAUGGACCUGCGUUGUAUUAGCUAGUAGGUGGGGUAACGGCUCACCUAGGAGAGGAUACAUAGCCGACCUUAGAGGGAGGACCGCCACACUGGGAAUGAGACACGGCCCAGACUCCUUCGGGGGGCAGCAGGAGGGAAUCUUCGGCAAUGGGCGGAAGGCUUGCCGAAGCACGCCGCGGGAGUGAAGAAAGUUUUCGGAUCGUAAAGGUCUGUUGUAAGGGAAGAACGGGUGUGAGAGUGGAAAGUUCACACUGUGACGGUAUCUUACCAGAAAGCGACGGCUAACUACGUG